rnacentral:rRNA from 1 species
UACAGAGGUCUCAAGCGUUGUUCGGAUUCAUUGGGCGUAAAGAGCGUGUAGGCGGCUCGAUAAGUCUGCUGUGAAAGUCCAGGGCUCAACCCUGGAAGGCCGGUGGAAACUGUCGGGCUAGAGUCCGGAAGAGGCGAGUGGAAUUCCCGGUGUAGCGGUGAAAUGCGCAGAUAUCGGGAAGAACACCCGUGGCUAAGGCGGCUCUCUAGUACGGUACUGACGCUGAGACGCGAAAGCGUGGGGAGCGAACAGG